GCGAAUGGCUCAUUAAAUCAGUUAUCGUUUAUUUGAUAGUACCUUACUACUUGGAUAACCGUGGUAAUUCUAGAGCUAAUACAUGCUGAAAACCCCAACUUCGGGAGGGGUGUAUUUAUUAGAUAAAAAACCAACGCCCUUCGGGGCUUCUUGGUGAUUCAUGAUAACUUUACGGAUCGCAUGGCCUUGCGCCGGCGACGGUUCAUUCAAAUUUCUGCCCUAUCAACUUUCGAUGGUAAGGUAUUGGCUUACCAUGGUUUCAACGGGUAACGGGGAAUUAGGGUUCGAUUCCGGAGAGGGAGCCUGAGAAACGGCUACCACAUCCAAGGAAGGCAGCMGGCGCGCAAAUUACCCAAUCCCGACACGGGGAGGUAGUGACAAUAAAUACUGAUACAGGGCUCUUUUGGGUCUUGUAAUUGGAAUGAGUACAAUUUAAACCUCUUAACGAGGAACAAUUGGAGGGCAAGUCUGGUGCCAGCAGCCGCGGUAAUUCCAGCUCCAAUAGCGUAUAUUAAAGUUGUUGCAGUUAAAAAGCUCGUAGUUGAACCUUGGGUCUGGCUGGCAGGUCCGCCUCACCGCGUGUACUUGUCCGGCCGGGCCUUCCUUCUGGAGAACCUCAUGCCCUUCACUGGGCGUGUUGGGGACCAGGACUUUUACUUUGAAAAAAUUAGAGUGUUCAAAGCAGGCCUUUGCUCGAAUACGUUAGCAUGGAAUAAUAGAAUAGGACGUGCGGUCCUAUUUUGUUGGUUUCUAGGACCGCCGUAAUGAUUAAUAGGGACAGUCGGGGGCAUCAGUAUUCAAUUGUCAGAGGUGAAAUUCUUGGAUUUAUUGAAGACUAACUACUGCGAAAGCAUUUGCCAAGGAUGUUUUCAUUAAUCAGUGAACGAAAGUUAGGGGAUCGAAGACGAUCAGAUACCGUCGUAGUCUUAACCGUAAACUAUGCCGACUAGGGAUCGGGCGAUGUUCUUUUUCUGACUCGCUC
rnacentral:rRNA from 1 species